AUUGAACGCUGGCGGCAUGCUUUACACAUGCAAGUCGAACGGUAACAGGUUAAGCUGACGAGUGGCGAACGGGUGAGUAAUGCAUCGGAACGUGCCCGGUCGUGGGGGAUAACGCAGCGAAAGCUGCGCUAAUACCGCAUACGAUCUGAGGAUGAAAGCGGGGGACCGUAAGGCCUCGCGCGAUCGGAGCGGCCGAUGUCAGAUUAGGUAGUUGGUGGGGUAAAGGCUCACCAAGCCAACGAUCUGUAGCUGGUCUGAGAGGCCGACCAGCCACACUGGGACUGAGACCCGGCCCAGACUCCUACGGGAGGCAGCAGUGGGGAAUUUUGGACAAUGGGCGAAAGCCUGAUCCAGCAAUGCCGCGUGCAGGAAGAAGGCCUUCGGGUUGUAAACUGCUUUUGUACGGAGCGAAAAGGUCUCCUCUAAUACAGGGGGCUCAUGACGGUACCGUAAGAAUAAGCACCGGCUAACUACGUGCCAGCAGCCGCCGUAA
rnacentral:rRNA from 1 species